AGAACUUCCGGCAGCAACUGCAAUUAGGGGUAGUCCAGUGCUAAAUUGUCGCAGCCUUGAAAAUAUUCUGCUUCGUUAUUUCGGGCACUCCACAGAUUCUGUUGCGAAGGCAGCCAUCUUUAGUUCGUCUUUCCUAGAGAGAAUUUUAUACUGAGGAGACAUCUUAUUUUGUGUGAGCUGCAAAGUUGCUUUACAUCUUUGCCAGCAGCUGAUAAGGGUGGGCCAUAAACCCAAUUUGUGUCCCUUGGGCUGGUGAUUCUGCUGGAAAUCCUGAUCAGCUGCUUAGCUUUUCAGCCGCAACUUUGUUGCAUACCAAUAAACGGAGAAAAUGGAUUGCAGGCCUGAUGCUAAUCCUUUAAUUCCCAUUUAUAUCUUGCAUGUGUGAUUGUUUUGUAUUGCAAUCUGAAUUAUCUGUAUUAAAUACUAUGGAGAUAA
rnacentral:lncRNA from 1 species